GUGAGUGAAGAAGGGUUUCGGCUCGUAAAACUCUGUUGUUAAAGAAGAACAUAUCUGAGAGUAACUGUUCAGGUAUUGACGGUAUUUAACCAGAAAGCCACGGCUAACUACGUGCCAGCAGCCGCGGUAAUACGUAGGUGGCAAGCGUUGUCCGGAUUUAUUGGGCGUAAAGCGAGCGCAGGCGGUUUUUUAAGUCUGAUGUGAAAGCCUUCGGCUCAACCGAAGAAGUGCAUCGGAAACUGGGAAACUUGAGUGCAGAAGAGGACAGUGGAACUCCAUGUGUAGCGGUGAAAUGCGUAGAUAUAUGGAAGAACACCAGUGGCGAAGGCGGCUGUCUGGUCUGUAACUGACGCUGAGGCUCGAAAGUAUGGGUAGCAAACAGGAUUAGAUACCCUGGUAGUCCAUACCGUAAACGAUGAAUGCUAAGUGUUGGAGGGUUUCCGCCCUUCAGUGCUGCAGCUAACGCAUUAAGCAUUCCGCCUGGGGAGUACGGCCGCAAGGCUGAAACUCAAAGGAAUUGACGGGGGCCCGCACAAGCGGUGGAGCAUGUGGUUUAAUUCGAAGCUACGCGAAGAACCUUACCAGGUCUUGACAUACUAUGCAAAUCUAAGAGAUUAGACGUUCCCUUCGGGGACAUGGAUACAGG
rnacentral:rRNA from 2 species